rnacentral:rRNA from 1 species
UUUAUGAAGAGUUUGAUCCUGGCUCAGGAUUAACGCUGGCGGUAUGUCUAAUACAUGCAAGUCGAGCGCUCACUUCGGUGAGAGCGGCGAACGGGUGAGUAACACGUUGGAAGCUGCCCCGCACUCAGGGAUAACCUAGUUAACACUGGGCUAAUACCGGAUGGUCCCGAAAGGGUAAAGAUUUUUCGGUAGGGGAGGCGCUUGCGGCCUAUCAGCUAGUUGGUGAGGUAAUAGCUCACCAAGGCUAUGACGGGUAACUGGU